UACGAAGGGUGCUAGCGUUGUUCGGAAUUACUGGGCGUAAAGCGUGCGCAGGCGGUUUUGUAAGCCAGAUGUGAAAUCCCCGGGCUUAACCUGGGAAUGGCAUUUGGGACUGCAAGGCUUGAGUGCGGCAGAGGAGACUGGAAUUCCUGGUGUAGCAGUGAAAUGCGUAGAUAUCAGGAGGAACACCGAUGGCGAAGGCAGGUCUCUGGGCUGACACUGACGCUCAUGCACGAAAGCGUGGGGAGCAAACAGG
rnacentral:rRNA from 1 species